AUUGAACGCUGGCGGCAUGCUUUACACAUGCAAGUCGAACGGAUUUUGGAGCUUGCUCCAGAGUUAGUGGCGAACGGGUGAGUAAUAUAUCGGAACGUACCCGGCAAUGGGGGAUAACGUAGCGAAAGUUACGCUAAUACCGCAUAUGCCCUGAGGGGGAAAGCAGGGGACCAGUAAUGGCCUUGCGUUGUCGGAGCGGCCGAUAUCGGACUAGCUAGUUGGUGAGGUAAAGGCUCACCAAGGCGACGAACCGUAGCGGGUCUGCGAGGAUGACCCGCCCCACUGGGACUGAGACACGGCCCAGACCCCUACGGGAGGCAGCAGUGGGGAAUUUUGGACAAUGGGCGAAAGCCUGAUCCAGCCAUGCCGCGUGAGUGAAGAAGGCCUUCGGGUUGUAAAGCUCUUUCAGGUGGAAAGAAAAGGUUACGGAUAAUACCUGUAACUGAUGACGGUACCAUCAGAAGAAGCACCGGCUAACUACGUGCCAGCAGCCGCCGUAA
rnacentral:rRNA from 1 species